UACAGAGGGGGCAAGCGUUGUUCGGAAUUACUGGGCGUAAAGGGCGCGUAGGCGGCCCGCUAAGUCGAACGUGAAAUCCCCGAGCUCAACUCGGGAACUGCGUCUGAUACUGGGGAGGCUUUGAGUAUGGGGAGAGGGAUGUAGAAUUCCAGGUGUAGCGGUGAAAUGCGUAGAUAUCUGGAGGAACACCGGUGGCGAAGGCGGCAUCCUGGACCGGUAUUGACGCUGAGGAGCGAAAGCCAGGGGAGCAAACGGG
rnacentral:rRNA from 1 species